UACGGGGGGAGCAAGCGUUGUUCGGAUUUACUGGGCGUAAAGGGCUCGUAGGCGGCCAACUAAGUCGGACGUGGAAUCCCCAGGCUCAACCUGGGAACUGCGUCCGAUACUGGAUGGCUUGAAUCCGGGAGAGGGAUGCAGAAUUCCAGGUGUAGCGGUGAAAUGCGUAGAUAUCUGGAGGAAUACCGGUGGCGAAGGCGGCAUCCUGGACCGGCAUUGACGCUGAGGAGCGAAAGCCAGGGGAGCAAACGGG
rnacentral:rRNA from 1 species